GUACAGAUAAAAAUGAGAAACCGUCAGUAAGGGAGAAACGUGCGCCCACACCAAAGAAAACCGUCACGAGGGACCGAAGCGACAGUACUGUUGACAAAUCCACUUUAAGGGCAGCGUCCAGAGCCACUGAUGAGCGAAGCUUUACAUUUAAAGAGCCGUCGAGCCCGGCACGCCUGAGCUACAGGUUGUACAAGAAGAAACCUGCCGCCGCAACAGCUCGGCAGCUAAAGAAAGGGCUGCCGAAGGACGCGCGCUGGUCCACUCUCCGCUCGGCGCGAGCGCCCUCCGAGACCAGGGGCAUAGUACGACGGCUGCGUAACAAUGUGCUACUAGGUAAAAAGCCACCUAAACCAGCAGUCAGGAAAGCGGGCCCGAAAACGAACAAAGACGACACGCCUCCGAAGCCGCCGGGUCCGUCCGGUUUCAGAGUGCCACGUCCGCCACCCUCUGAAAGCAGU